rnacentral:tRNA from 1 species
GCGAGCGUAGUUCAAUGGUAAAACAUCUCCUUGCCAAGGAGAAAGCACGGGUUCGAUUCCCGUCGCUCGCC